rnacentral:rRNA from 1 species
AACGCGAAGAACCUUACCUAAGCUUGACAUCCCUCUGAAGGCCCCUUAAUCGGGGCCCCUCUUCGGAGCAGAGGUGACAGGUGGUGCAUGGUUGUCGUCAGCUCGUGUCGUGAGAUGUUGGGUUAAGUCCCGCAACGAGCGCAACCCUUGUCUUUAGUUGCCAGCAGUUCGGCUGGGCACUCUAGAGAGACUGCCGAGGAUAACUCGGAGGAAGGUGGGGAUGACGUCAAAUCAUCAUGCCCCUUAUGCUUAGGGCUACACACGUGCUACAAUGGCUGUUACAAAGGGUUGCCAAACCGCGAGGUGGAGCUAAUCCCAUAAAGACAGUCUAAGUUCGGAUUGUAGGCUGAAACUCGCCUACAUGAAGCUGGAGUUACUAGUAAUCGCAGAUCAGAAUGCUGCGGUGAAUGCGUUCCCGGGUCUUGUACACACCG